CGCAAGGCUAAUCCGCGCAGGGUCAGUCGGCCCCUAAGACGAGGGCGAAAGCCGUAGUCGAUGGGAAUCAGGUUAAUAUUCCUGAACCUGGUGGGAUGUGACGAAUACCGGAAGCCGUACAUUCUUAUUGGAUUGAGUGUGCGGCCUGGGUGUUCCAGGAAAUAGCCCCAUCAUAUAGACCGUACCCCAAACCGACACAGG
rnacentral:rRNA from 1 species